rnacentral:rRNA from 1 species
UACGGAGAGGGCUAGCGUUGUUCGGAAUUACUGGGCGUAAAGCGCGCGUAGGCGGCUUAGCAAGUUAGAGGUGAAAGCCCGAAGCUCAACUUCGGAAUUGCCUUUAAAACUGCAAAGCUAGAAUCAUGGAGAGGUUAGUGGAAUUCCGAGUGUAGAGGUGAAAUUCGUAGAUAUUCGGAAGAACACCGGUGGCGAAGGCGGCUCACUGGCUCAUACUGGACGCUGAGGUGCGAAAGCGUGGGGAGCAAACAGG